CGGAGGAAAAGAAACUAACAAGGAUUCCCCUAGUAACUGCGAGUGAAGAGGGAAGAGCUCAAAUUUUGAAUCUGGCGGUCUUCGGCCGUCCGAGUUGUAAUCUAGAGAAGCGUUAUCCGCGCUGGACCGUGUACAAGUCUCCUGGAAGGGAGCGUCGUAGAGGGUGAGAAUCCCGUCUUUGACACGGACUACCAGUGCUAUGUGAUGCGCUCUCGACGAGUCGAGUUGUUUGGGAAUGCAGCUCAAAAUGGGUGGUAAAUUCCAUCUAAAGCUAAAUACAGGCGAGAGACCGAUAGCGAACAAGUACCGUGAGGGAAAGAUGAAAAGAACUUUGGAAAGAGAGUUAAACAGUACGUGAAAUUGCUGAAAGGGAAACGCUUGAUGUCAGUCGCGUCGGCCGGGGAUCAACCUUGCUUCUCYGCUGGGUGUACUUCCCGGUCGAUGGGUCAGCAUCAGCUUCGGUCGCCGUACAAGGGCGAGGGGAACGUGGCACUCUUCGGAGUGUGUUAUAGCCUUUCGUCGUAUGCGGCGGUCGGGACUGAGGAACUCAGCACGGCUUCCGUUUGUGCUUAGGAUGCUGGCAUAAUGGCCUUAAGCGACCCGUCUUGAAACACGGACCAAGGAGUCUAACAUGCCUGCGAGUGUUUGGGUGGCAAACCCGAGCGCGUAAUGAAAGUGAAAGUUGAGACCUCUGUCGUGGAGGGCAUCGACGCCCGGACCUGAGUCUUUGACGACGGAUCUGCGGUAGAGCAUGCAUGUUGGGACCCGAAAGAUGGUGAACUAUGCCUGAAUAGGGUGAAGCCAGAGGAAACUCUGGGGAGGCUCGUAGCGAU
rnacentral:rRNA from 1 species